CUCUCGUGGUCCUCGCCAGCAGCCGCUCGUGUUGUCGCCCUCCUCCCCGGUGAGCUGCCACGCCCUGGUCCUUGGCAGGUGCGCGGUCGUCUUCCUCGCCGGCGGCCGCAUGCGCUCUCCUCCUUCUCCCCAGCGAGCUGCUGCGCCCAGGUCCUCUGCGGGUGCGCGCUCGUCCUCCUCACCGGCGGCCGCGCGCGCUCUCCUCCUCCCUGGCGAGCUACCGCGCUCGCGUCUUCGACGGCUGCGCGUCGUCCUCGCCGGCGAGCUACCGCGCUCGUCCUCCUCCCCGGCGAGCUACUGCGCUCGCGUCUCCGACGGCUGCGCGUCGUCCUCGCCGACGGUCGGGCGAGCUCGUCCUCCUCCCCGGCAAUCCGACGCGCGUGCUGCUCCUCGUCCCUGGCGCGCGUGCGCUCCUCCUCGUCCCACCCCACCUCUUCUUCUACCUCCAGUUGUUUGCACGGACGACUGCAAU
rnacentral:misc_RNA from 1 species